CUCGUCGACGAAGAAGACCUAAUCUCGUUUAUCAUUGUGGGAUUGGAUGAAGAUUUUGAACCCAUCAUUUCCUCUUUGGUGUCAAAAUCUGAACAUGUGAGCCUAGGGGAGGCUUACUCCCAGUUGCUCAGCUUUGAGC
rfam:Oryza sativa Japonica Group DNA, chromosome 3, cultivar: Nipponbare, complete sequence.